AUGGCCAUCUUGAUAGUUACAUGGCUUUUAAAACAGGGGUCCAUGCGCAAAUCUCCUCUUCCUAUGAGGACACAGUCAUAUGGGAUCAGGGCUUCGCCUGUUGACUUCAAUGUCACUUGUACCUCUCCCCAGACAUUCAUAUUCUAAGAUAUUCUUGAAUUUUCUGAGAACAGGGAUGGGGUGGAAGGCCCAAGUCUACCUAUUAAAAUGAAUGGCAGAGUCAGACUUUGAACGUGGGUCUUUUAGAUCCCUCUCCUGCCCACUCCCUUUCCCUAGAACCCAAGCACUGCUCACAUGUGUAUGUCAACCCCACAUAGACUCGGGGCCCCUGACUUCAUUCACACGGCACAGCAACGUGAGCACUAGGAGGACACAGCAGCUCAGGGAAGAGAAGGUCAGUGUGCAUUCGAGAAGUCUGAAGCUACAGCAGGGUGUGAACUCGGCCUUCCCCUCUCCAACUCUGUAUCCCUUGCACAGUAGUAAGCUCACUUAGCAGCAUAGUGGUGCGGCUGGGAUGCCCAGACAGGACCCGGGCCCAGGGCAAGUGAGAGAAAGCUCUGCUCCCCAGCUAGCUUAGAUGUCUAUGGAUAUUGUGCAGCUUGGAUGACCAUGUCUGAAUGGCAGGUCCUCUUCUCUCCUACAAUCCCCAGACACUCCUUGAGUAGUGAGUUCUGUUGCAGAAAGCCAGACUUAAGGGAGAAAUCAAAGGCUGCUGGGAACUUCUGUCCUCUAGGGAGCGUGGCAACUGGGGUUUCCUCCCUUUGAGAAGAGAGCCCCACCUAGGGGGUCAGCACUCAGAGUGAGGAUGCAGGGCUGAAAAGGACAUGAGAACCAGACUAUCCAAGUCUCUCCCUGGCAUUCAUAGCGACCCAGGCCCAUGGGGCAAAGCUGUUUCCUUAGACUGUGUAGGGAACUAGCCCUGAACCAGAAAACCUCCCCACCCCACCUCCUCCAGACUCCAGCUCCCUUGGCUAUAUCAGCCCAGGUGCUCUGGCUGAGGCAGAGUGCUCACUGCCUGCUGUGGCCUGAAACAUUCCUCUUGUGAAAUCGAUCCCCGGAUGCCAAUUCUGAUGAAAUUCUUUCACUAUCUGGCAGGAUUCUGAUUCUGGACUACAGUGGCCCUGAGCUGCACACACACACAAGCCAUAGUGUCCCUGACCUGCCCUUUUACUCUCUCUUCUUUACAUCAGUUGAUUGCCCAAAGCAAGCAGUGAACACUACUGUUUCCACAGACUCACAGUUGGCUUGUAUCCCUGGAGAUAAAACAUAUCAGUCAGCACAGGUCACUUACCAUGUCAAGAGUGUUCCAACCUAGAGUGCCCUGACCUAGAGUGUUGGCUGUCCUUCGGUCCGCCUGCCUUCAAAGCUAGGCCAGCCUCCUGCACUGUUGGCUGAAGGGCCUGAGUGUACUCCAUCCAUCCAUCCCUGAGGGGCACGUGGAGCCUAGCGGGGUCUCUCUCCAGAGCCUCCUUUCUGAGAGAAGCAGUUAAAGGCUGACACUCCGACGUGCAAGGCUGGAUUCAAGCCAGCUCCCCACUUACUGCUCUGGGAGCUGAGAAAGCUGUCUAAUGCUCUGUCUGUCUGUCUCUCUGAAGAGGGGAGUGAUAACAGCAGGGCUCUCCUUGUGGACCCGUGAGGGCUAAGACUGGUGGGGACUAAGAUAUCUUGUCUGCUGGGAGAUCUAGCUAAGUUGUUCCUUAUGUACGCUUUAUGUACCAGAGCCACCAUCAUACGUGCUAACAGCAUAAAAGUAACUUCCUGUAUCUCUUCUGCCUUAUACCUAACAGUCUCCUCUAUUCCUGAGCUUCCAUUUAUAGGACCAGGGUGGAAGUGCCACCUCCCAGGCGGCCAAAUGGCCUCACCAUGCACUCUGGAAAACACUCACCCUCACAUCAACCACCAACAAUGAUGGCGACCUCUGGUGCAGAAAAGCAUCCUCGCUCCUUUCCUGAGUGGCAGUUCCUCUCCUGCAGCUCCCAAGUAGGAUUUAGGGCUGCCAGGGUUGGGAGCACCCCACCUUGGCCACAGGCAGCUCGCUAACCAACCCCAGCAGCUCCCUGCCUGCCAUAGGCUGAAGCAUCCUUCUUGUCACAUUGAUCCUGGGAUGCUAAUUCAGAGGAAACACUUUCUCUACCCAGCAGGUUUCUGAUUCUGAACCACAGGGUGCUUGGGCACACAUGCAAAUGCCGUAGUGCCCUUGCCCUGCCCCUUGACCCCUUCAUCUCUCUUCUCCACUACCUGUCAAUCACUCCAAGCUAACUUUUUUCUUCAUGCCCCAAUUUUAAGAUCAGAACUUGUUUGGGCUUCCAGCUCCUGGGUCUUUAACUGGAGACACUAGAUUUUAAUCCCCAGGGCUCAAGGGAGAGAGCAUUCUGUACCAGAAACACGGAGCAAGGCAGAGAGAACAGAAGGCACCACAGUGCCCGAAUCUUACCCAGCAGGAGAGGGCACUGUCUGGGACUGGGAGUAGGCCAUUUUGUAGAGGGAAGAACAGUAGACAGGCAGGUGGGACCUUUCCUGGUGAUCCUCCGGAAUAUAGAGGGGUGGAGACUGGAGGAGGUGCUGGGAAGAUUCUGAUAGGUGUUCACCUGGGACAGGACCCACCCAGAGGGCCCAACAUGACCCAACACAGAGAUGACCAACCCAGUGGAUGUGCAGACAUGGAGGCUGCCCAGGGGCUCUCAGGUCCAAGGGCCCAAGGUGAAAAUCUGUGUUUUGCUCUCACAAAGAUGUGAAACCUUAUGUCCUGCUCUGCCUCAGUUUCCCACCUACGAAGUCAGACAGCUCACUGUACGUGCCUUGCUGUGAGUACUCAGAGUCAACAGCAGCAGCUGUGACACUUUAUGCAAACGCCUGGCUCAGAUCAGAUGCUCAAGAAUUAUUAGUCUCUUGUCUCCUGCUCACUACCUUCCGUUCUCAGCUCUGGAGGCAACUGGCUAGCAGGUCACCUCUGUUACCUCUAAGCCUUCACCGAAGAGCUGCUAUGUUCAAUACUGUGUCAGUUUCUGUAAUGUUUUCAAGGAGUUCCCUCUGUCACCUUGCAAGGUAAUAACUGUCUUCAUUUUACAGAAAAGGAAACUAUUUUCAAACAGCUCCCUAGAAAGUGAGCCAAGGCUGCCACAUGCCUGCUGAAGAGCUGGGCUCACUCCCUUCCACUCCCCACCACAAUUUGGUAGACCAUCUUUACCCUAUCUCUUUUCUGCUCUUCCCACACUCCAAGACAGGAGGCAGAGGAGAGACACGAGAGGGUAGUAUAGAGCAACAGAAAGAAAAGACACCUCAGAGUCAGAGGGUGGGGUUCAAGUCCCAGCUCCUCUGCUUGUGAGCUGAGUGAUCUAUGGGAUUUAGAAAGGAGCUCUGUCCUCUAGGCCCCAGAAAAAUGGGUCCCCACAUCAACUCGGGUCAGCUGUUUGGUUACAAAGGGAAGCUGGUGGGUAUCACCCAUCCCAGAACACAGGGAGCCUAGUAUGGGCACUCAAUCAGACUCAGUGGUCCCAAUCGCUCCCAAAUGGCCACCAGAUCAACAAAGUGGUCCUUCUUAUCAAGCAGCUCAUAAAAUGAAACUGAAAGUCAGAGCAAUCUCAUCUGGGCAGCAUUGAAACCUGCAUAUUCUCUGGUCCCGUGUGCCCAACUUUUGUGAAUUCAAUUACUGUGCUUUCAUGAUUGCAGUGUCCCAAGUUCUGAUUGGAGCAAUCCAUGUUCCAGCCAUGUCAUUAUUGUCCCCUCUGGAUCCCAGAGUAGUUGCUGUUCUGUUUUGGUUUAUUAAGUCUUGUUAUAUAAUCCAAGUAAGCCUCUAAACCAACAUCCUCAGGUUUCAGCCUCCAGAUUGUCUUAUUACAGGUUCAUGUCACCAUGCCUGGCUCACACAGUGGUUCUGCACAUGAUUUUAACAUUCCUAGGUCUAAAGUCUAUUCUUCCACAAACAUUCACUGUGUCCACACUCUGUGCAAGGGCCUGAUCUUUGUGCUGGGGACAUGGCAACAAGCGACAGACCACAGACUCGCAGAGCUGGCAGGGCUGGGAAAAAAAAAAUCUGAGCCACUGCAAGCAAGCAUCGAAAGACCAAAUGGGAAACACACUCAGCAGGGCAGAAAGGACCACCAAGUGCUGCCAGCCAAACCCUGCAGGGGUGAAGUGAAUCUGGGCAGCAGUCUUGUUGAAGCAGAUGCAAAGGCUGGGCGAGGAGCGAGUGCCGUGAGCAAGAACCUGAGCGGUUUGGUGUGUCCUGGAGAUGUAGGGAGUGCCUGGGCAGGACAGGAAGGUGGGACUGCUUCCCUCCACGCAGUAAGGGCCAGUAUGCCAUCUCAGUGGCCUGGGAGGAGCAGGGUCGGUUUGUGCAUUUCUAGAGGGGGAGAACAGAAGGUGAGAACGCUGGAAAAAUGAAUGCAGAAUGUCAUUCUCUUGUUUACCUGAGCAGGGAGGCUGGCAAGGAGUUCUUUCCACUUAUGUCUUGUUUUGUUUUAACAUGAGAAAGACAAACAGAACUUUCUACAUUUCCCAUCAUAACCGUAGAUAGGAUGUGAAAUCAGUUCCACCAGUGGCCACCACUGCUCUUCCUUCUCACCCCCCUGUAUUUUAUCUUUUAUGUACGUUGGUGUUUUAUGAGAAUGUCAGGUCCUCUGGAACUUAAGUUACAGACAGUUUCAAGCUGUCAUGUGGGGGCUGAAAAUUGAACCCAGGUCCUCUGGAAGAAAGGACAGUGCUAUUAACUGAUAAGCCAUCUCUCCAGCCUCUACACCACUGAUACGCCUAACUAAAUGGGGCAGAAAAAAAGCUCUCAGAGUGUGUUACAGGUAGGAAGAAUGAACACUGGUGACUGCCUGUAAAGCUUCUCUUUCAAAUAUGGUGUGAGUGUGUGUGUUUGUCUGUGUCCCUGUCCAGUUGUGGUUCUGUGUUUCUUACUGUGAAUUAUCAUUUACAAAUCUGAAAAUCUCUUGAUAUAACCCAUUUUCUCUUAGCUGCCACUGACUUUAGUAUACAUAGAGAUCAACUUUCUAAGAUGGUGACAUUUCAGAGCUCUGUUUGUACCAGGACAGGAAGUAAUAAGCUGAGUACACAGCCCUUUGAAUGCAAUAGGCUGAUAACAGGUUUAUCACCCUGAGUAAGAGAACAGGGCUACCAGGGCUCACUGGCAAUCUGGGAUACUUAAUCUGCUCAGAUUUCUGGCCGGUAGUGUAAAUGGACAUCUUUCCAUACACAGGUGAUCUAGAGGGCGCCAAUGAAACAAUGGCUCAGAAGGAUUUGGGUGGCUAGAAAUUACUCACGUUACUCACAAGCCUCGAUGUCAGUCAGCAGUGGCAAAGCCAGGAAUUAGAGUCCUCCAUGUUGAAGACUCUAUGCUUUCAUUGUGUAGUGGAAGGACAUGAUCAGGUUCUCGGCAGGGAGACGGGACGAGGGGAGAAUGGGAAGGGGUAGGUUAGUGGAAAGAGCUGCUAGGCUCAAAGGAGAGAAUGAGAUGGCAGAGUUCAGAUGAGGAGAAUCAGUGAGCACGUGAAGGGAGGCAGGUAAGGCAAGAGGACCACCAGGCCUCUGGGAGGAGACCGGCGGACUAACUGGAGGAAGCUGAGACUCUCCAGGGCGUCCCUCCCCUCCUCUUUUCUCAGGACCAACCUCACUGGAACCCCUCAUUCCCUGCACCUCAACGGUGUUGAAACCAUUUGCUCCACCCUUUCCCCUGCAGCCUGAAGUCAUCUUGUUCUUUGGCUAAACUCCCCUGCCCUCUUCUGUGGGUCCAAGAGGAUUCCUUCACACCUACCCCAUGAAAACUUCUCUGACUGCUCUGGACACAGUGUGACAGUCUCCAUUGACGGCAGACAUUCAAACUCUUCGGGAGCUAUGCCAUGCUGGCGUCGGUGAGCCCACCUGGAUCGUGAACUCCCAGAGCACAGCCACGAUCAGAUAUAUGCCAGACGCUCAUCUGGGAAACGUAGUGAAUGGAUGGAAAGAUGGACAGAAAUUAAAGACAGCAGGACAGGUUUAAUGAGGCAGGUUUAAUGAGGCAGUAAUGCGAAGAGGUAGAAAUGGCCCCUGACCGGGAAACUAGAACCUGUCCUGCUCCUUAGCUCUGUGACUAUAAACAAGCCAUUUAUCUUUCUGGGCCUCAGUCUCCUGAAUGAAAAAUGGGCAACCAAUGGGGUUAAGGCUGAUUCCUCAGGGCUUCCAGCUCCCAUGUCCGAUCCAUGUGGUAGGAGCAUUGCAUGUUGUCUGAAGUGCAGGCGAGCUCAGCUCCUGGAUACAGAGACCAGAGGGAGAAAGGAAAGGAAAGAAAAGGAAAGGGCGGAGCCUCAUAUGUAUACCCAGAGCCCUGUCAGAGCCAGUUGUAAGAGCUACUUGGAAAACAGCCUCUGACUUCCAACCACUAUCAGAUUGGGGAGCACAUAAGUUGGAAUCUUAGUAGAUAAACUUGCUGCUUCACAACAGCCCUGUCACCUGUCCAGAGAGCAGCCAAGGCACACUGCAUGGCAUUACUUCCAAAGGCCUCAAACUACAUUCCAUUUCUUUGGGGCCUUCCAAACCCUCUACACCCACAAUGCUUUUCUGGGCUCUAUAAUCAGGUUCCUCCCUCAGUUUUCCUAUCGAUUUGUUAUUUAGUUUCUGUGUGGUAAAAUGCACAUAACAUCCAGGUUUCUUUUUUGCUUAGAGUUUUUUGUUUGUUUGUUUGUUUGUUGAGACAGGGUCUUACUAUGUAGAGGCUCACCUCAAGCGUACAGAAGUCUGCCUGCCUCUGCCUCCUGAGUGCUGGGACUAAAGCUAUGUAUAGGUCACUCCAGAAACACUUGCACAGCUGCCCACCACAAGACUGGGUGGAGGUCGCUGCUGCUUGGAUGACCAGCUCCUGAAAUCAAGCAGCUUGAGAAUGAAGCCUUCCUCUGAAAGCGCCCAGCAUUCAACAGACCCCAGAUUUCCACAACAAGCACAGCGGACAGAACCCACGAAUGGGAUUGUUGUGACACUUGGGAGAUAAAUUCCUGAUGCUUCCUUCCUCUUCUGCCAUCUUUCCAAGAAUCCUCUUUCCUGCCCACUUUUACCAGCAUUUUUCCAGGGCCAUCAAAUGAGUGAAUAAAUCUCAGAGAAAUAA